rnacentral:rRNA from 1 species
GAAUCCCGUCUUUGACACGGACUGCCUGUGCGACAUGGUGCGCUCUCGAAGAGUCGAGUUGUUUGGGAAUGCAGCUCAAAAUGGGUGGUAAAUGCCAUCUAAAGCUAAAUAUUGGCGAGAGACCGAUAGCGAACAAGUACCGUGAGGGAAAGAUGAAAAGCACUUUGGAAAGAGAGUGAAACAGUACGUGAAAUUGUUGAAAGGGAAACGCUUGAAGUCAGUCGCGUCGGCCGAGACUCAGCCUUGCCUCGGCUUGGUGUACUUCUUGACCGACGGGUCAGCAUCAAUUUUGCCCCUUGGAUAAUGGCGAGGGAAAUGUGACACCUUUAUAGGUGUGUUAUAGUCUCUCGUCGCAUGCAAGGGUCGGGAUUGAGGAACUCAGCACGCGCCUUCGGGCGUCGGGGCCUUGCCCACGAUACGUGCUUAGGAUGUUGGCGUAAUGGCUUUAAACGACCCGUCUUGAAACACGGACCAAGGAGUCUAACAUGCCCGCGAGUGUUCGGGUGGAAAACCCGUGCGCGCAAUGAAAGUGAAAGUUGGGACCUCUGUCGCGGAGGGCACCGACGCCCGGACCAGAGCUUCUGCGACGGAUCUGCGGUGGAGCGUGUAUGUUAGGACCCGAAAGAUGGUGAACUAUGCCUGAAUAGGGUGAAGCCAGAGGAAACUCUGGUGGAGGCUCGUAGCGAUUCUGACGUGCAAAUCGAUCGUCAAAUUUGGGUAUAGGGGCGAAAGACUAAUCGAACCAUCUAGUAGCUGGUUCCUGCC